GGUGCUAGGUGUCACGGGCAUUGACUCCCGUGGUGCCGUAGCAAACGCAUUAAGCACCCCGCCUGGGAAGUACGGCCGCAAGGCUAAAACUCAAAGGAAUUGACGGGGGCCCGCACAAGCGGUGGAGCAUGUGGUUUAAUUCGACGCAACGCGAAGAACCUUACCUGGGCUAGAAAACAUAGGAACCUGGUAGAAAUAUCGGGGUGCUCUUCGGAGAACCUGUGGUUAGGUGCUGCAUGGCUGUCGUCAG
rnacentral:rRNA from 1 species